UGGGCUUCAAUGGACCUUAGGCUUCAGUGAGCCUUGAUCAUUUGGAGCUUCACAAUUUUAUCAUUUACAGAGAGAGAGAAAGUUUCAAUCUAUAUUAACCAUACUUUCUCAUAACUCACAAUUGAUGUGGGACUAAAGAUGCUGUACCCUUGUAACAUGAACAUUAUCUGACCUCAGUUGGAUCAAUCAUAAAGCUGAUGUAGCUUAAUAUAACAAGU
rnacentral:lncRNA from 1 species